UCCGGCUUAUCACCGGCGGUUUCUUUAGAGUGCCCAACUAAAUGAUGGCAACUAAAGACGAGGGUUGCGCUCGUUGCGGGACUUAACCCAACAUCUCACGACACGAGCUGACGACAGCCAUGCAGCACCUGUCACCUGGCUCCCGAAGGCACCCCUCUGUUUCCAGAAGGUCCCAGGGAUGUCAAGCCUUGGUAAGGUUCUACGCGUAGCGUCAUAUUAAACCACAUGAUCCACCGCUUGUGCGGGUCCCCGUCAAUUCCUUUGAGUUUUAGCCUUGCGGCCGUACUUCCCAGGCGGCAUACUUAUCGCGUUAGCUUCGUCUCACAGGGGGUCGAUACCCCAUAAGACUAGUAUGCAUCGUUUACGGCGUGGACUAC
rnacentral:misc_RNA from 1 species